CCUACGGGAGGCAGCAGUGAGGAAUAUUGGUCAAUGGGCGCAAGCCUGAACCAGCCAAGUCGCGUGAGGGAUGAUGGUCCUAUGGAUUGUAAACCUCUUUUGUCGGGGAGCAAGGCCCGCCACGUGUGGCGGGAAGGAGAGUACCCGAAGAAAAAGCAUCGGCUAACUCCGUGCCAGCAGCCGCGGUCAUACGGAGGAUGCGAGCGUUAUCCGGAUUUAUUGGGUUUAAAGGGUGCGUAGGCGGAAGGUUAAGUCAGCGGUAAAAUGUCGGUGCUCAACACCGGCCUGCCGUUGAAACUGGUCUUCUUGAGUGAGCGAGAAGUAUGCGGAAUGCGUGGUGUAGCGGUGAAAUGCAUAGAUAUCACGCAGAACUCCGAUUGCGAAGGCAGCAUACCGGCGCUCAACUGACGCUGAGGCACGAAAGCGUGGGGAUCGAACAGGAUUAGAUACACUGGUAGUC
rnacentral:rRNA from 1 species